CUGGUGGGCCAGCACCACAUCUGUUAAACUCUAUAAUAAAACAUUUUUUCUUCCUUGUUGAGGCAACUCCAAUAUAUUCUUAAAGAAAUUUAACAUGAAAUAAGUCAUUCAAAAAAAUCUUCUAAGGCCAAUUUACAGCCUUAAUUAUUAUGGGUUGGUGAGUGAUUAUGCAAUUCCUCUAGAAAUGACUAUCACUGGAUAAGGUUUGUAAUGAGUAUUUCAUAGAAAAGCCAAUACAUGGUGUGUGUUUUGUCAUCUGGUUCUAGUCUCUGUUUGGCAACAAGUCUCUGUACGUGGCUCUGUUAGUGCAGCCAAAAAACCUUGCAUACUUCACAACCUGCCACUCUUUUCAAAGAUUUAGUUAGAAACUGAAGCUUAUAGUACAUGCUGCUGGAUUAAGCAUCUUAAGUGAGAGUCUCAUGGGCCUAAAAUAUCUCUUGUACCCACACAUUUCCUGGUAGGCCAAACUUCACAAAAUAAACACAGAUGACCUCUCUCCCAUCCAGUCUUCCGGAAAGUUUAGAAAUGAUGCAACCUUUUGGCAACAUGACACAACACAUUGCUUGACUUGUGCAGAGCAUGAACUUCUUCAUUUUGCGUGAACGUGGACCAACAAGCAUUUACAUUAGCACUGCCCCAGACUCUGUAACACAAUCUCAUCGACUUUAACAAGACCAGACAUUAAGUAAAUGGCCUUGGCUUCGGGGAAGAACGAGUCAACAUGUGAAAACAGGAGACGCCCAGGAGACUCACUCUCAGGACAAAUACCAGAGGAGAGAGGCCAAACUCCUAGCCGCCCACCCUAUCUUCCUGUAGAAGAAUUUUCUGCCAUGUACUUCAGGAGAAAAAAAAAAUCACAUAAAUCAGAAAAUUCCUCACAAAUUGGAUGGUGUUACUCUCGAAUGGGGGACCCUAGAGAAUGUCAUAUAUCACAGAAAACCCACUACACUGCUGGCCCUUACAGAAGAAACUGA
rnacentral:lncRNA from 1 species